ACUAUAAGAAAAGAAAAAAAAAUGACAGAACUUAAUCAAACUCUGAGUAGUGUAGUGUAGUAUUAACAACAAUGAAAUCUAUGAAGUGACUAGCCCCAGAUUCACAGAUGGCUUCCUACAGGAGACGAAAUAGAGUGUGGCUUGAAGUUGAAGAAGAUAGAAAGGAAGUUUUGAUUCAGCAGUUUAAUAUGAAAAUUACAUAAGUGAAGGACAGUGAAAAUAGAAUAAAUUAUAAGAAUUAAGAUUGGAUAGACAGGUUGAAAUAAUGUGUCAGGAUUUAGACUUGAGAUAAAUAUAUAGUUAUAAAAGUAUUUGGCUUAUAAUUUUUAAGAGCAUGCUAACUUUGUAUUGUAUGUUGCAGGAAAGAGAAAAAGUAAUGAAGUGAUCACAAAUUUAGGCAAGAAGCAAAAGACUGAUGUCAGUACUGAACAUCCUCCCUUUUAUUACAACAUUCACAGACACAGCAUUAAAGGAAUGAAUAUGCCAAAGUUAAAAAAGUUUUUGUGCUAUUUAUCUCAAGCAGGCUUUCGAGUAAGCCGAACUCAUUUUGACCCAAUGGGUGUACGCACAGAUGCACCUCUGAUGCAGUUUAAAUCUAUCCUUUUAAAGUACAGCACCCCCACCUACACUGGAGGACAGUCAGAAAGCCAUGUCCAGUCAGCAUCUGAAGAUACAGUAACUGAAAGAGUUGAAAUGUCAGUGAAUGA
rnacentral:sRNA from 1 species